AUGGAGCAGUUGAACCUCAAGGCGAAGCAGCUCAUGCGAAGCCGGACUGUUUUCCAUGGCAUCGUACCCGGCCUGUCCUGUUCCCCGAUCGGCAAGAUCAAGAUGGAUGUCCUCUUCGGAGACAAGGAUCACUUUCGCCGAGAAGCAAUCUGGUUCGAGGUAGUGGAUCUGGAAAGCCCUUACCACGCCUUGCUUGGCCGACCUGCUCUGGCCAAGUUCAUGGCUGUGCCCCACUACGCCUACCUGAAGAUGAAGAUGCCGAGCUCGAAGGGGAUCAUCAAUGUAGCCGGCGACUACAAGAAGUCCAUCGAGUGUGCUGCAACCAGCAGCCGGCUGGCCGAGUCCCUCGUAGUGGCGGAAGAGAAGAAGAUGCUGGAGCGAGUUGUGGCCAUGGCCGGCAAGCAGCCGGCCUUGUCCCCCAACCCCAAGGAAUAUGAUGCGCAGGGCUCCUUCCAGCUGGCCAAGGAGACGAAGAAGAUACCUCUGGACCCGAAGAACCCGGAGAGGUUUGCAGUCAUUGGUGCAAACCUGGACAGUAAAUAG
rnacentral:rRNA from 1 species